AAUCAACGCUGGCGGCGUGCCUCAGACAUGCAAGUCGAACGCGAAAGUCCCCUUCGGGGGAUGAUUAGAGUGGCGCACGGGUGAGUAACACGUAGGUAAUCUACCUUCGAGUGGGGAAUAACUCAGGGAAACUUGAGCUAAUACCGCAUAAUGCAGCGGCACCACAUGGUGACAGUUGUUAAAGCAUUUAUGCGCUUGAAGAGGGGCCUGCGGCAGAUUAGCUAGUUGGCGGGAUAAAAGCCCACCAAGACUUCGAUCGGUAGCCGGUCUGAGAGGGCGACCGGCCACACUGGGACUGAGACACGGCCCAGACUCCUACGGGAGGCAGCAGUGGGGAAUCUUGCGCAAUGGGCGAAAGCCUGACGCAGCGACGCCGCGUGA
rnacentral:rRNA from 1 species